UACGUAGGGUGCGAGCGUUAAUCGGAAUUACUGGGCGUAAAGCGUGCGUAGGCGGUUCGUUAAGUGCGUCGUGAAAGCCCCGGGCUCAACCUGGGAAUGGCGAUGGAAACUGGCGGGCUGGAGUAUGGCAGAGGGGGGUGGAAUUCCGCGUGUAGCAGUGAAAUGCGUAGAGAUGCGGAGGAACACCGAUGGCGAAGGCAACCCCCUGGGCUGACACUGACGCUCAGGCACGAAAGCGUGGGGAGCAAACAGG
rnacentral:rRNA from 1 species